AUGACCUAACCUAGCCGCCAACCCUCACAUUUACUCUGCGCUCUCCACUCUCGCAACCCACUCCCACUCUCGCAACAGCCAGCACCUCCCACUCCCAACCUGCGUGAACCCCUUCCUCCCACCAUCUCCCUGCGCCGACGAACCCCUUCCUCUCACCACCUCCCAGCGCCGCCGAACCCUUCCAGUCUUUCACACAGCGCCGCCGAACCCUUCGUCUCAGCACCUCCUCGCGGACAGCACCAGCCAACCCCAUCGUCGCGGAGCCAGCACCACCUCGCCGCCACCCACAGCAUUGUUUCUGGCCUCGCAGAGACAGCACCACCCAGCCACCCACAUCAUCGUUUCUGGCGUCGCGGAGACGCGGACAGCACCCGCCACCAAGCCACCGAGUCAAGUCAGAUAUGGAGCCUCCAAUUCAGGGAAAUUCUGGUUUAGGGUUGAUUCUGAACUUUUUAGUUUAGAGGAAGACUUUGGAAGCUGUUCACGAAGCUGACUUUCAAGAAGCUGUUCACCAUUAUAUGAUUGAUGAGAAGCUCCUGAAAUUGAACAAGGAUGGCCUAAGAUUGAUGAGAAGGCGGAUAUGUACACCUUAGGUGAAAGGAAGAAUUUGUGGAAUUGGUGCACCACAUGAAUAUUUUUGGAAUUAGUUUGGUUGUAUUUUUUACUUAGUUUGGUUCUAUUUCUUGAUUCAGUUUGGAAUUGGUGCACCAUUUUUGCAAAAUUUUUGGAAUUAAUUUGGUUGUAUUUCUUGAAUUUCUUGAUUCAGUUCAGGUUGAUUAUUGUUCUAUAUGCUUCUGCUGUUUUUGUAACAAAAUUUGUUAGUGAUUUAUAAGUUGAUCA